UCGUUCUUUUAUUUCUGAUCUUUCGGCCAAAGCACACGCGUUUUCAAAUCGAAUUUUGCAAAGAAGUGCUAAGUCCACGUGUGUAUAUAUAUAUGCACCACUUCGGGCUUAAUAACCGCCCAACAAGACAAACACACUAAUAAGUGAAGCACCACAAAGCUAAUUUCAAACGCCCAAAGUGGCUGGCGUAAUUUAGCUGGCACCGAUCGCAACAUCCAACUUAUAGUUGAAAAACUAAUUAGUAGGAGUGCGCAGCGCUAUUUGAUCAAAUCGCCUGGUGCUCCUUUGGCCCACUCUGGCUGCUAACACGUGGAGCGGGACUACUCGAGCCGAGCCACAUACAGUUUACCAGUGCAAAUUUAAGUUUCGAGCCAAGCUUCCCAACUGCUGUAAGACGUAAAAAAAACUUUAGUUCCUAGAUUGAUACACGUGUUGUUCGCCAUAUUCUCCUGACCAGUUGCGAGUAACCUAACCCCGGACUGAUGGUUAGCCAUCGACACGUCCAACACGAGCGUAUAGCGGAUAAGCAGACACCCUGGGCCCUUGUUCUAGCUGUUGAAUCUGCCGCCUCGCCGCUAAGGAUUCACCCCCGAUCUCGGCAGUCGAUCUGACCAUUGUAGUUUUUAGAAUAGAUUUAAAUUUUAUAGAAAUUAAGCUUAUUACACGAGUACAGUAUGUAUAUUUGGCCUUAGAUUGACUGUUAACUAAUAAUAUUUUGUAGUUCACUCAGCAUACACACAUCUUCGUUUACACACACCGUCCACAGGCCUGUCGACUGCACUGGAAACAGAUUUAAAGUAUUUAUGUUGUAAGUACGACAGAGCCGACCGUUUGUUAGGAUCAAUCUAAGCCAAGUAAUAUAACUGUAGAAUAACUAUAGAUUCAAGUUUCGACACCCGUGCUAUUUUGUUGAAGACUGCCUUUUUUCUUUUUAAAACUUAAUUGUUAAUGUACAUUUUUGAAUAAGAACCUAAAUGAAGUCAUUUGUACCUAUUAUAUGGUUAAUCUGCCAUGGGCAAGCUAACGUUAAGCAUCUGCCAUGGGCAAGCUAACGUUAAGCAAAUCAUAAGCAUCUGCCAUGGGCAAGCUAACGUUAAGAAAAUCAUAAGCCGCCGCCAUGGGCAACUUAUCUUUAAUUGAAUUUUGGUAUGUAUUUGAGAAUGAAGUAUAAAAUGAAGUAACUUUGUUUGCGAAUUGGGACACCUGAA